rnacentral:rRNA from 1 species
UACGGGGGGGUAAGCGUUGUUCGGAAUUACUGGGCGUAAAGGGCUCGUAGGCGGCCAACUAAGUCAGACGUGAAAUCCCUCAGCUUAACUGGGGAACUGCGUCUGAUACUGGAUGGCUUGGAUCCGGGAGAGGGAUGCGGAAUUCCAGGUGUAGCGGUGAAAUGCGUAGAUAUCUGGAGGAACACCGGUGGCGAAGGCGGCAUCCUGGGCCGAUACUGACGCUGAGGAGCGAAAGCGUGGGGAGCGAACAGG